rnacentral:misc_RNA from 1 species
GUGAACGCCCUCACGGGCUUAUAACUAUUCCAAACCUCGGUGAACCGUGCCCUUCGGGGCUAUUUUACAAACAUGGUGUAAUGAACGUCAUAUAUCAUAACAAAACA